GAUAAACGCUGGCGGCGCACAUAAGACAUGCAAGUCGAACGAACUUAACCAUUAGUUUACUAUUGGAGCGGUUAGUGGCGGACUGGUGAGUAACACGUAAGCAACCUGCCUAUCAGAGGGGAACAACAGUUAGAAAUGACUGCUAAUACCGCAUAUGCCUUGAGUAUCGCAUGAUACAAAAGGGAAAGGAGCGAUCCGCUGAUAGAUGGGCUUGCGUCUGAUUAGAUAGUUGGUGGGGUAAAGGCCUACCAAGUCGACGAUCAGUAACCGGACUGAGAGGUUGAACGGCCACUUUGGGACUGAGAUACGGCCCAGACUCCUACGGGAGGCAGCAGUCGGGAAUAUUGCGCAAUGGAGGAAACUCUGACUCAGUGACGCCGCGUGCCGGAAGAAGGUUUUCGGAUUGUAAACUGCUUUAGACAGGGAAGAUAAUGACCGUACCUGUAGAAUAAGCUCCGGCCAACUACGUGCCAGCAGCCGCGGUAAUACGUAAGGAGCAAGCGUUAUCCCGGAUUUAUUGGUCGUAAAGGGUGCGUAGACGGGAAGGCAAGUUAGUUGUGAAAUCCCUCGGCUUAACUGAGGAACUGCAACUAAAACUAUCUUUCUUGAGUGCUGGAGAGGAAAGUGGAAUUCCUAGUGUAGCGGUGAAAUGCGUAGAUAUUAGGAGGAACACCAGUGGCGAAGGCGACUUUCUGGACAGUAACUGACGUUGAGGCACGAAAGUGUGGGGAGCAAACAGGAUUAGAUACCCUGGUAGUCCACACCGUAAACGAUGGAUACUAGGUGUAGGGGAUGAAUAAUCUUCUGUGCCGUCGCAAACGCAGUAAGUAUCCCACCUGGGGAGUACGGCCGCAAGGUUGAAACUCAAAGGAAUUGACGGGGGCCCGCACAAGCAGUGGAGUAUGUGGUUUAAUUCGACGCAACGCGAAGAACCUUACCAGGGCUUGACAUAUAGAGGAAUAUAGUAGAGAUACUAUAGCUCUUCGGAGUCUCUAUACAGGUGGUGCAUGGUUGUCGUCAGCUCGUGUCGUGAGAUGUUGGGUUAAGUCCCGCAACGAGCGCAACCCCUGUUCUUAGUUGCCAGCACGUCAAGGUGGGAACUCUAAGAAGACUGCCGGUGAUAAAUCGGAGGAAGGUGGGGACGACGUCAAAUCAUCAUGCCCUUUAUGUCCUGGGCUACACACGUACUACAAUGGCUGUAACAGAGGGAAGCGAAGCAGUAAUGUGGAGCAAAACCCAAAAAAGCAGUCUCAGUUCGGAUUGAAGGCUGAAAUUCGCCUUCAUGAAGCCGGAAUUGCUAGUAAUGGCAGGUCAGCAUACUGCCGUGAAUACGUUCCCGGGCCU
rnacentral:rRNA from 1 species